UUCCGUAGGUGAACCUGCGGAGGGAUCAUUACCGAGUUUACAACUCCCAAACCCUUAUGUGAACCUACCUAUCGUUGCUUCGGCGGACUCGCCCCAGCCGGACGCGGACUGGACCAGCGGCCGCCGGGGACCAUCAAACUCUUGUAUUAUCAGCAUCUUCUGAAUACGCCGCAAGGCAAAACAAAUAAAUUAAAACUUUCAACAACGGAUCUCUUGGCUCUGGCAUCGAUGAAGAACGCAGCGAAAUGCGAUAAGUAAUGUGAAUUGCAGAAUCCAGUGAAUCAUCGAAUCUUUGAACGCACAUUGCGCCCGCCAGCAUUCUGGCGGGCAUGCUUGUUCGAGCGUCAUUUCAACCCUCGACCUCCCUUUGGGGAAGUCGGCGUUGGGGACCGGCAGCACACCGCCGGCCCUGAAAUGGAGUGGCGGCCCGUCCGCGGCGACCUCUGCGUAGUAAACCAACUCGCACCGGAACCCCGACGUGGCCACGCCGUAAAACACCCAACUUCUGAACGUUGACCUCGAAUCAGGUUGGACUACCCGCUGAACUUAAGCAUAUCAAUAAGCGGAGGA
rnacentral:rRNA from 1 species